rnacentral:rRNA from 1 species
CUGGUUGAUCCUGCCAGUAGUCAUAUGCUUGUCUCAAAGAUUAAGCCAUGCAUGUCUAAGUACAAGCCUCACUAAGGUGAAACCGCGAAUGGCUCAUUAAAUCACACCUAAUGUACUGGACAGUCUCAGUUACUUGGAUAACUGCGGUAAUUCUGGAGCUAAUACAUGCGUACUAGCCGCGACUCACGGAGCGGUGCUUUUAUUAGAUCAAAACCAAACGGCCUCGAGCCGUCCCCCUGGUGAUUCUGAAUAACUUUGGGCUGAUCGCACGGACUCGUUCCGGCGACGUGUCCUUCCAAGGUGUGCCCUAUCAACUGUCGACUGUGGCAUAGACGCCCACAGUGGUUUUGACGGGUAACGGGGAAUUAGGGUUCGAUUCCGGAGAGGGAGCCUGAGAAACGGCUACCACUUCUACGGAAGGCAGCAGGCACGCAAAUUACCCACUGGCCGAAGGCCGAGGUAGUGACGAAAAAUAACGAUACCGGACUCAUCCGAGGCCCGGUAAUCGGAAUGAGUACACUUUAAAUCCUUUAACGAGGAACAAUUGGAGGGCAGGUCUGG